AAUCAACGCUGGCGGCGUGCCUCAGACAUGCAAGUCGAACGAUUAAACUUUCCUUCGGGAAAGAUAUAAAGUGGCGCACGGGUGAGUAACACGUAAGUAAUCUACCUUCGAGUGGGGAAUAACGUCGGGAAACCGACGCUAAUACCGCAUAAUGCAGCGGCACCUAAUGGUGACAGUUGUUAAAGGAGCAAUUCGCUUGAAGAGGAGCUUGCGGCAGAUUAGCUAGUUGGUAAGGAACGGCUUACCAAGGCUACGAUCUGUAACCGGUCUAAGAGGACGGUCGGUCACACUGACACUGAAUAACGGGUCAGACUCCUACGGGAGGCAGCAGUCGGGAA
rnacentral:rRNA from 1 species